CGUAUGGCGACCGGCGCACGGGUGAGUAACGCGUAUGCAACCUGCCUGAUACCGGGGUAUAGCCCAUGGAAACGUGGAUUAACACCCCAUAGUACUUUUAUCCUGCCUGGGAUGGGAGUUAAAUGUUCAAGGUAUCGGAUGGGCAUGCGUCCUAUUAGUUAGUUGGCGGGGUAACAGCCCACCAAGACGAUGAUAGGUAGGGGUUCUGAGAGGAAGGUCCCCCACAUUGGAACUGAGACACGGUCCAA
rnacentral:rRNA from 1 species